rnacentral:rRNA from 1 species
CAGGAUGAACGCUGGCGGCGUGCCUAAUACAUGCAAGUCGAGCGAUGAGGCUCCUUCGGGAGUCAUCAGCGGCGAACGGGUGAGUAACACGUGGGUGACUUGCCCCGAAGAUGGGGAUAACCUCUGGAAACGGGGGCUAAUACCCAAUGUGCUCGGUGAUUCGGUUCAUCGAGUAAAGCUCCGGCGCUUCGGGAGAGGCCUGCGGCCCAUCAGCUAGUUGGUAGGGUAACGGCCUACCAAGGCAGAGACGGGUAGGGGGCGUGAGAGCGCGGACCCCCACACUGGCACUGAGAUACGGGCCAGACUCCUACGGGAGGCAGCAGUAAGGGAUAUUGCGCAAUGGACGAAAGUCAGACGCAGCGACGCCGCGUGGGCGAUGAAGGCCUUCGGGUUGUAAAGCCCUUUUAUGGGGGAAGAGAAAAAGGACGGUACCCCAGGAAUAAGUCCCGGCUAGCUACGUGCCAGCAGCCGCGGUAAAACGUAGGGGACAAGCGUUAUCCGGAUUCACUGGGCGUAAAGAGCGUUGAGGCGGUUCCGUAAGUUGGGCGUGAAAGCUCCGGGCUUAACUCGGAGAUGUCGUUCAAUACUGCGGGGCUUGAGGACAGCAGAGGAAGGUGGAAUUCCCGGUGUAGUGGUGAAAUGCGUAGAUAUCGGGAGGAACACCCGUGGCGAAGGCGGCCUUCUGGGCUGUUCCUGACGCUGAAGGCGAAAGCUAGGGGAGCGAACGGGAUUAGAUACCCCGGUAGUCCUAGCUGUAAACGAUGGAUGCUGGGUGUGGGGGGUGUAAAUUCCCUCUGUGCCGAAGCAAACGCGUUAAGCAUCCCGCCUGGGGACUACGGCCGCAAGGCUAAUACUCAAACGAAUUGACGGGGGCCCGCACAAGCAGCGGAGCGUGUGGUUUAAUUCGAUGCUACACGAAGAACCUUACCUGGGUUUGACAUGCACGUGGUAGGGAACCGAAAGGGGACCGACCUUCGGGAGCGUGCACAGGUGCUGCAUGGCUGUCGUCAGCUCGUGCCGUGAGGUGUCGGGUUAAGUCCCGUAACGAGCGCAACCCUUGCCCUUAGUUACAAGUGUCUAAGGGGACUGCCCGGGACAACUGGGAGGAAGGUGGGGAUGACGUCAAGUCAGCAUGGCCUUUAUAUCCAGGGCUACACACACGCU